rnacentral:lncRNA from 1 species
CUCUCCUCGAUGUUAUUGAUUAAUUUUUAAUAAAGUGGUUCUUUAUUUAGUAUUACAAGGUAGGUAAAGAAAAUAUACACCUCAUGUAAAAGUCAAAUGCAAAUAAAGGUAUAUUGCAAUACAAAAAAUGUUGAACAAUGGAAUGCUGGUUAUAUCUGAAAUGUUAUAUAAAUGUCACUUUAUGAAUGAAUGGCAGGGAGGGAAAAAAGAAAAAGAGCAGGAGACAUAAAGGAAAAGGCAGAAACCCUGUCUAGAAAAUUUAGAAAUGUAGGUACACUGAAAACCAGGAUGGGGGUGUUGGUUAAUGAAGACAAUGAAGGCAGGCAUUUUAAAUAACUAUUUCUCCUCAGUAUAUAUUAAGGAAGAACCUAUGGCUAUAGAUAUACAAAUGAUUGCUGCAAAAAAAGCUUGAAGAAAAUUUGUGAUUGAAUGACUUAAGACAAGGUGCUGCAACAACUAGUGAUGUACCGAACGGUUCGCCGGCGAACGGUUCCUGGCGAACAUAGCAUGUUCGCGUUCGCCACGGCGGGCGAACAUAUGCGCGGUUCGACCCGCCCCCUAUUCGUCAUCAUUGAGUAAACUUUGACCCUGUACCUCACAGUCAGCAGACACAUUCCAGCCAAUUAGCAGCACAGCCUCCCUAGCAGACCCUCCCACCUACUGGACAGCAUCCAUUUUAGAUUCAUUCUCAAGCUGCAUGCUUAGUAAGAGGAGGGAAAGUGUAGCUGCUGUUCAUAAGAUAGGGAAAAGCAUAGCUAGGUUAGGGAUAAGGGUAUGCUUUUUUUUGGAUUUUUUUUUUCUAUCUAAUGUAAAUGCACUUAGUUGUCUGCCACUGCUGCCAGCUUCUGUGUCAGGCUCACAGUGCCCAUUUCCCCAGUCAGUGCCACCAAUUACAUCUGGUGUCACAAUAGCUUGGAUUUAAAAACAAAAAACUUUUUUCACUGUUAUAGAUUGAAUAGCAGUCAGUUUUCUGCCACUGCUGCUAGCUUCUGUGUCAGGCUCACAGUGCAUACUGUGCCCAUUUCCCCAGUCAGUGCCACCAAAUACAUCUGGUGUCACAAUAGCUUGGAUUUAAAAACAAAAAACUUUUUUCACUGUUAUAGAUUGAAUAGCAGUCAGUUGUCUGCCACUGCUGCCAGCUUCUGUGUCAGGCUCACAGUGCAUACUGUGCCCAUUUCUCCAGUCAGUGCCACCACUCACUCACUGGUGUCACAAUAGCUUGCAUUUAAAAACAAAAAACUUUUUUCACUGUUAUAGAUUGAAUAGCAGUUAGUUGUCUGCCACUGCUGCCAGCUUGUGUCAGGCUCACAGUGGAUACUGUGCCCAUUUGCCCAGUCAGUGCCACCACUCACUCGCUGGUGUCACAAUAGCUUGCAUUUAAAAACAAAAAACUNNNNNNNNNNNNNNNNNNNNNNNNNNNNNNNNNNNNNNNNNNNNNNNNNNNNNNNNNNNNNNNNNNNNNNNNNNNNNNNNNNNNNNNNNNNNNNNNNNNNACACACCACUCCUAUCUGAUGGCACAUUAGAUUGCACGUGCAGUGCCCCAAAUUUGUUGUGAUCUGUGAGUAAGGUAAACGGUUGUCCAUACAAGUAAGGUUGCAGCUUUUUGAGGGCUCACACCACCGCCAGGCACUCCUUUUCAAUGGCAGUGUAUCUACUUCCCUGGGCAAAAGUUUCCGGCUUAGAUAAGCCCCGGGUUGCUCGCCGCCAUCUGCUCCGACUUGGCUCAAUACUGCUCCCAAUCCAAACACAGAAGCGUCUGUAUGGAUGAGAAAGUGUUUAGUUGGAUCAGGAGCAGAAAGUACAGAUGAUUUAAUGAGCGCCGUCUUGAGCUGUUGGAAGGCCUGUUCACACUCUGGGGCCCAUACUACUAUCUUGGGGAGGUUUUUACACGUUCCUAUAUGGCACUUACUGGCUUUAGGGUCAGUCCGGACUCCCUAAUCCGGUCUAUUACGGCUCCUAUGUGGGUCAGGUGUUCGGGCCAGGAGCAGCUAAAAAUGUCUAUACCAUCCAAGUAGGUGUGUAUCAGUGUAUAUCAGGGAUCCUUAGGACAGGUGUCAAUCCAUAUCUGCCAAGUGACCCUAUGUAGGGGGAACAGUUUCUAUUCUGCUCUGUGUCAGUGUGUAUCAGGGGCUUGAGGACAGGUGUCAAUCCAUAUCUUCCGAAGCUGCGACCCGAUGUUGGGGUAGUAAUAUUCCCUAUUCUGCUCUGUGUCAGUGCGUGUAUCGCAGGACCUCACCGAUAGGAGACGCUUUUGAAGGUAAUAAAGUCCGAUCAGAACAAUACUAAACACAAUUCACUCAAUAAGGUUUCUCUCCUGUAUGGCUCCCUCUCAAAUGAUGCUUAGCAUUGUAGCUGCUGAAAAGCAUUACACAGGUAUUAAACUGAUCAACAUAGUACUAAACCCUCCCCCCCUAUCUGGUGUCACAUUAGCUUGACCGCGCAGUGCCCCAAAUUUGCAGUAAGAGGACCGACCAAGCCUCUUCUUCCAUCUCCCUGUUACAAAAAUCAAUGCCGUGUACAUGACCACUGAUAGGAGACGCGGAAGGUAUUAAACUGAUAAAAAUAGUACUAAACACACCACUCCUAUCUGGUGUCACAUUAGCUUGACCGCGCAGUGCCCCAAAUUUGCAGUAAGAGGACCGACCAAGCCUCUUCUUCCAUCUCCCUGUUACAAAAAUCAAUGCCUUGUACAUGACCACUGAUAGGAGACGUGGAAGGUAUUAAACUGAUCAGAACAAUACUAAACACACCACUCCUAUCUGGUGGCACAUUAGCUUGACCGCGCAGUGCCCCAAAUUUGCAGUAAGAGGACCGACCAAGCCCCUUCUUCCAUCUCCCUGUUACAAAAAUCAAUGCCGUGUACACGACCACUGAUAGGAGACGUGGAAGGUAUUAAACUGAUCAGAACAAUACUAAACACACCACUCCUAUCUGGUGGCACAUUAGCUUGACCGCGCAGUGCCCCAAAUUUGAAUUAAGAGGACCGACCAAGCCUCUUCUUCCAUCUCCCUGUUACAAAAAAUCACGCCGCGUACACGACCACAGAGAGGAGACGACGAAGGUAUUAAACUGAUCAGAACAAUACUAAACACACCACUCCUAUCUGGUGGCACAUUAGCUUGACCGCGCAGUGCCCCAAAUUUGAAUUAAGAGGACCGACCAAGCAUCUUCUUCCAUCCCCCUGUUACAGAAAUCACUGCCAUAUCCAUACAAAUUGUACAGAAUGUCCAGGAUAGUUUUCCAGGGACAAAUGUUGUCGCCUGUUGAACGAGGUGACCUUGCUCGGGUCCCAGGUGUACGGUUCCUAAAAUGGCUUGCCAUAUACACGCCCACACUGAUAGGAGACGCUGAAGGUAUUAAACUGAUCAGAACAAUACUAAACACACCACUAAUAAGGUUUCUCUCCUGUAUGGCUCCUCAAAUGAUGCUUAAGAUUAGAAGCGGCUGAAAAGCAUUUCUCACACAGGUAUUAAACUGAUAAAAAUAGUACUCAACACUCCACUCCUAUCUGGUGUCACAUUAGCUUGACCGCGCAGUGCCCCAAAUUUGCAGUAAGAGGACCGACCAAGCCUCUUCUUCCAUCUCCCUGUUACAAAAAUCAAUGCCGUGUACACCACCACUGAUAGGAGACGCGGAAGGUAUUAAACUGAUCAGAACAAUACUAAACACACACCACUCUAUCUGGUGUCACACAUUAGCUUUUGACCGCAGUGCCCCAAAUUUGCAGUAAGUAUACCCACUCAAGCCUCUUCUUCCAUCUCCCCUGUUACAAAAAUCAAUGCCGCAGUACACUACUGAUAGAGACGGAAAGGCAUUAAACUGAUCAGAACAAUACUAAACACACCACCCCUAUCCGGUGCCACAUCAGCUCGACACCGCAGUGCCCCAAAUUUGCAGUAAGAGGACCGACCAAGCCUCUUCUUCCAUCUCCCUGUUACAAAAAUCAAUGCCGUGUACACGACCACUGAUAGGAGACGCGGAAGGCAUUAAACUGAUCAGAACAAUACUAAACACACCACUCCUAUCUGGUGUCACAUUAGCUUGACCGCCAGUGCCCCAAAUUUGCAGUAAGAGGACCCACCAAGCCUCUUCUUCCAUCUCCCUGUUACAAAAAUCAAUGCCGUGUACACGACCACUGAUAGGAGACGCGGAAGGUAUUAAACUGAUCAGAACAAUACUAAACACACCACUCCUAUCUGGUGGCACAUUAGCUUGACCGCGCAGUGCCCCAAAUUUGAAUUAAGAGGACCGACCAAGCAUCUUCUUCCAUCUCCCUGUUACAGAAAUCACUGCCAUAUCCAUACAAAUUGUACAGAAUGUCCAGGAUAGUUUUCCAGGGACAAAUGUUGUCGCCUGUUGAACGAGGUGACCUUGCUCGGGUCCCAGGUGUACGGUUCCUAAAAUGGCUGCCAUAUACACGCCCACUGAUAGGAGACGCGGAAGGUAUUAAACUGAUCAGAACAAUACUAAACACACCACUAAUAAGGUUUCUCUCCUGUAUGGCUCCUCAAAUGAUGCUUAAGAUUAGAAGCUGCUGAAAAGCAUUUCUCACACUCCGAACAAAAAUAUAUUUUUUUAACAUUCUCUCCACUUUGAACGAAAUGACGUUUGGGAAGAGAUUAACAUAAUUAAACACAGGCAGUAAAAAUACAGUUUUUAGCCAUACCCUGUAACUUUAAAACUACACAUCCCAUCUUCAUAAUUACAUAUUUGGAAUCAGCACACUUAAAACAUAAACAUAACCAAAAAUCAGCCAAAUCCAUCCAGGGGUUAAAAAGUUAGCUGGAGGUCCCUUUAUGACCGACCGCAAGCACAUUUUCCUGCCCAAAACAGUUCCAUAGAUUUGGGCUGUGAGGUCGGUCUAUUUCAGGCUGAAAAAACGACUAAGUCCCAUCGCGAAUGGGACUUAGUCUCUGCAGCUGAAAUAAGGCUGAAAAAAAAAAGACUAAGUCCCAUCGCCGCCAAAUGGGACUUAGUCUCUGCAGCUGAAAUAAUUUCCCAUUUACUGAACCAAGUGGGAAAUAGCAAGGCAGGCACAAAGGGUUUGCACCAGGUCUGGGGACACAGGGGACACCGUCUUAAAGGGGCCGUGUCCCCAACAAGUCUGGGGACACGGCCUUAAAGGGGCAGUGUCCCAAUCUUCCUGAUGUCCCAAAAAAGGUGUUUAAAGGGCCAGCACCAGUCACAUAAAGAGUCCAUAAGCCCCAAUAUGCCCACCGACAGUCUUAAAGGGCCAUACACACCAAAUAAAAGUGCAUACAUUUUCACAAUCUCCCAGGGGCCAUAGUCAUGCGGGAGGAGGCUGGCAAAGAGGCUUCUCCACAACCCAGGGAAACAGGGCAAUUUGCCAUUUAAAGGGCCCGUUACAAAUAGCAGUUUGUAACAAGGUGUCAAUCCAUAUCUGCCAAGUGACCCGAUGUAGGGGGAACAGUCCCUAUUCUGCUCUGUGUCAGUGUGUAUCAGGGAUCCUUAGGACAGGUGUCAAUCCAUAUCUGCCAAGUGACCCUAUGUAGGGGGACCAGUCUCUAUUCUGCUCUGUGUCCGUGUGCAUCAGGGGCUCUGAGGACAGGUGUCAAUCCAUAUGUCAAGGUGUCAACAUGUCAUAUGUCAGGUGUCAAUCCAUAUUGAUUGUGAUUUAGGAAUGUUAGGUGAUUUCUGCCCUUUAUGGAUUAAAACCAGACUCUGUAUCAACUGUGUAAUUUUCCAUGGGAGUUUUGCCAUGGAUCCCCCUCCGGCAUGCCACAGUCCAGGUGUUAGUCCCCUUGAAACAACUUUUCCAUCCCUAUUGUGGCCAGAAAGAGUCCCUGUGUGUUUUAAAAUUCGCCUCCCCAUUGAAGUCAAUGGCGUUUCGGGCGGUUCGCCGGUUCGCGAACAUUUGCGGAAGUUCGCGUUCGCCCUUCGCGAACCGAAAAUUUCGGGUUCGCGACAUCACUAGCAACAACUAAAGAAAGUUAAUGUAGGGGGUGUGGCCUGGCGGUCAAGGAACAUUGUGGUGUGAUUCAUGUUCUCCCUGCUGGCUCUGCUAUAAUCUUCGUCUAGCACACUUUUCCAACUGCCGGGUGCAGGACACCCCCAGGGGCUCCAUUACAUCCUCGCUACAACAAUACUUGGUCACCCCAGCUGACUUCAUGUCACAUGCCUCAAAUGACUCAAGAGUCUUGAACCACAAACCGAUCAUGGGGGACCCACACCCAGACUUGGUCAUGCUGCUGAAAAAUCUACCUACCAAGGUUGUCCUCCUGGAGGCUGAUGUGGACCUGUGCAAAUCAAUCACAUCGGGUCUGCACAUGCUCCAAGAGGACCCAUAAGGCUAAACCAGUGAGUAUCCCAAGUGGAAGCUGAUUGUGAUCAGCUGUCCAAUGCACAAGCUGCCAACACUGAUGCCCUGCCUUUACAGAAGGCUCAAAUGUACCAGAUGGCCAAUCACGUUGAAGAUCUCAACAACCGAGGCAGGCGGCAGAACAUAAGGGUCAGAGACAUACCAGAGGAGCUAGAAACUCUGACAGGAAUCUUCAAUGGACUGCUAGGUAGGCCGACUGACAGCCCCAUGAGAUUUUUCCAAGCCCACAGGGCACUCCAGCCUAAAGGCCCUCCUGAAGGCCACCCUAAAGAUGUCAUAUGUUGCAUGGCUAACUUUCAGCUAAAAGAAGACAUCCUAUGAAAGGAAGGGAAGCCCUGCAGGCCCAUGAUUUGACCUCCAACUAUUCCCGGACCUGUUUCUUGCCACUUUGGCCUACCGGCUGGCCUUACACCUUCUCACCAGGAUCCUAUAAUCCAACAAGAUCCAUUAUCACUGGCAUUUCUCUACAGGGCUGAUGGCACUUACCCUGAAGGGCCUCUUCCUGGUAAAAGGUGCAGAGGAUAUGUUGGUUCUCCUUGCAACUUCCAGUGGUUUCUUCCCCUUUCUAAUUGCCUACACACCACAGGGGAUGGAGGGCUCCUUCUCGUCUCACGGAGCCAACACCACCCCCCAAGGUAGUAGGCUGUUGCUUUCUUUAGAAGAGCUGAGGUAUUGGCUAGAUGUCAUUAUUUAAACUCUCCUUUAGGUCAUAGUAGUCUUCUAUUUUCCUUGUAACAAGGGUGUACAAGUGGAGAUACAUACAGCAUGAGUACCUUGUUGCCUCUGGUCUUAUGAUUACUUCCUGCAAUAUUAGAACCAAUUUCCAUCAUUACCACUGUUCUCUGAUUUCUUUCCCUUUAUCUGCUAUCUCUUAUUUUGUCUAUUUAAGUUAGUGUAUCUGACGCACAACUUAAUAAAGCCUGAUUAGAUACACAUUUACUUAUUUUAGUCUUAGCCCUCCCUUAGCUACCCCCGUACUAUUUGAUACUUUAUUUUAUGCUGUACACAUUAUUUACCAGUUUUUGGAGCCUAAUGUUCCACCAUUUCGUAGUUGUCUAAUCUACAGAAUUAAUGCCCAAGAUAGACUGGUACUAUCCUCUCUGAUUCUUUUUUACCAGACCUGCUGGUCAAGUUAAAAAGCUGUUUAGUUUAUCAUCCCCCAAGGUAUAUUAAUUGCUCGCGGGCUGGAACUUUAGCAAACAGUCCUCACUUACAUGCUGAGUUGGGGGGUUUGCAGAUGGCUCCUGAGUUACAGCCACCUAAAUUAUUUCCUGGUUUCAAGGUGACCUCAAUGGGCCCACUAUUACUCCUACAUGUAUAAGGCACAGACUCUUGGCCCUGCGCUCAUCCUGGAGGUCGGGGGAGGGGGGGAUAGGGUGCCGCGGCCCAGACUGGGCUGGGCCGCCAACCACCCCAUGAAUCGUAAUGACCUACCCGAGAGCAGGCAGGGUGGGCACCACCUGAUUGGGUGACCCCAGACCUAGGCGGGUGGUGGAGGUUGGGACCCAGGGCCCUAUGCAGGCUAAGCGAGAUUCAGAAGUAAACGUCAUCAGAGGAUUGACGGCAAUCCAGAUCCGGAUUUGGAUACCCCGAAAAAAGACAAUGGAGAAGGAGAAAGGACUCUAAGCACUUGGAAGAUCUCAUUAGAUCGAAACUCAUCUGCUAAAUGAUGGAUGUUUUUUAAGGUUUAAUUUUGCCAUCAGUGAUCUUCUUAUUCUGUAAGUAUCAGCUGCACUGUUUAAAGUUGUCUUGGAAUAUCUCCUUAAUU